UCUACAGACACCAUGCACUAAUUUGAUUCAGAGCCCCUUCCUUUCCCUUGCCCUCUUCCUGUUAUUCUUAAAUGCUUCUGCCUCUCAUAUCAACUAUUUUCCAAGGCCAAAGAGGAGGUCAGUCGGGUUCUAAUGAGUGUUUCUUUAGGUUCAUGGUGCAGAAGGAGUGUCAGACUACCACCAGGGUCAUAAAACUAACCCUGGAAAUGCCCACAACUCCUAUGAAAGCCUUGUAAAAUUUGUGUUUAAGAAUAUGGCCCCUAACUAUUUCCAAAGGCCAAAACAGAGAUAAGUCGGGUUCUAAUGAGUGUUUCUUUAGGUUCAUGGUGCAGAAGGAGUGUCAGACUACUACCAGGGUCAUAAAACUAACCCUGGAAAUGCCCACAACUCCUAUGAAAGCCUUGUAAAAUUUGUGUUUAAGAAUUUCCAAAGACCAAAAAUGAGGUGAAUUGGGGUCUAAUGAGUAUUUCUUUAGGUUUAUGGUACAGAAGAAGGGUCAAACAACCACCAGGGUCAUAAAACUAACCCCUGGAAAUGCCCACAACUCCUAUGAAAGCCUUGUCAAAUUUGUGUUUAAGAAUUUCCAAAG